UGUCUGAAGAAGUCGAAGGACUUGUAGGACUGCACUGCUUCUCUCCUAUAAACUCCAAGGUUAAAUACUGCAAGAGAGAGAGGAAAGAAAGAGAGAGAGAGAGAGAGAGAGAGAGAGAGAGAGAGAGAGAGAGAGAGAGAAAGAGGUGGAGUGAAUGAUUGCAUCAAGUGCUAAUAUAUCAUGACAGUACAUGUACUCGAUCUAUAAAAAACUACCUUGGUACUCAACACUGACCUCUUUCUAA